rnacentral:rRNA from 1 species
CCUAAGGCGAGGCAGAGAUGCGUAGCUGAUGGGAAGCGGGUUAAUAUUCCCGCACCGUCGUAGAGUGCGAUGGGGGGACGGAUUGCAGAAUGUUAUCGGGGUGUUGGAUGUCCCCGUUGGCGCAUCAUAGAAGGCACUUAGGCAAAUCCGGGUGCGUAAUUCAAGGGUGUGACUGGAUAGAGCUUCGGCUCUAAACUAACUGGAAGCAGUUCCAAGAAAAGCCUCUAAGCUUCAGCUCUACGAGACCGUACCGCAAACCGACAC